GGGAGCUGUAGACCGGAGCUGUUCCUAUUCGGCCAUCUUGGCUCCUCCCCCACCCCCGUAUUAUCUUAAAAAUUAGAUUGUUUUCUGCUGGUUGCUUUCUGAAAUUCUACUGGACCUAAUGCCAUUGGAAAUGGAUGGGGAGAAGGCCUGAUGAAAAUUACUGAGGAAGCCUCUUAGCCUAUGUGCUCUGAGAGUAGUGACACCUAGCAGUCGUUCAAAAGAUGAUCAAGAGGAGCAUGAAAAAAUCCCCUGAAUCCAUUGGCUUUCUUCCCUAUACUGACAACAGUUUACUUGUGUAAGAGAUGCAUGCCUCGACUCCGGACCCCUUCUUUCAUCUGCAAAAUCAGCAGCACCCUCACAUCAUCUCCUGUAACAAACUCUCUCUGUCUCCUCCAUAUAAGGUCACUGAUGGUUACAUUUAGGGUCCAUGAUAUAAGAAGAUGGAUGUCUAUUGCUUUUCUCUUGAUAUUCAUGGCACUGCUCCUCUCCAUCCAUAGGAUUAUCUUAUAGAUGAGGGUCUCAUCCUUUUGCCCAGGCUGGAGUACAG
rnacentral:lncRNA from 1 species